rnacentral:lncRNA from 8 species
ACAACAAUAGUGUACAAAAACCCAAAGUGACGGUCUACCCAGCGUCCAAACCUGAGCCAAAUAGGAAAACCACCCUGCUAUGUCUGGCUAGAGACAUGUUUCCAGACUUGGUCAAGAUUUCAUGGAAGAUGGUGGAUGAAAAUGGCCAAACAGUAGAGGUACCCAAAGCAGAGAGGGAAGAGCUGGAACAGAGGGAGGAAGGACGGACAACCAGUAUGAUCAUCAUUGAUAAAGACAAGACAUACAGGAACAAAUACAGCUGUUCUGUGGAGCAUGAAGGGGGCCCUCAAGAUGUUAACAUACCAGAAGAGGAACCAACUGAAGCUUCUCCAACCACCAUGGCUUCACCAACCACUCUGCAGGUUACCAACGGUAAAUAUUUAAGUGUAUUUCAUGCAGUUUUGGGGUCUAUUCAAAUAAUUAAAAGUUGGAAAAAAUAUAUAAAUGAACAGAUUUAGAUAUGGUGAAGUUGCAUUAUUCAGGAGUGUAAUAUGGUUAGAUGAGAAGUUGUUGAAAAGUGUGAUAAAAGUGAUUUAAUGUGAUAUUUAUGGUAAACUUGAGGUGUGGGGCAAGAAUGAUGCUUUGCAUGGCCAAAUCCAAAGGUAAGGGAAGAAUGUUUUGUAAAGAGAACAUUUUAAAUCUCGUGACCUGCGGAGAGAUGGCACUGUCUAAUGAAUCUAAAAACGUUGAAAUAUCAAGGAUUUGUGAGACCGCAUUCACGAUAAACGCUGAAUAUAUGUCGGCUUAAUUGUAAAUAGCCCGACAAAGUGCAAUCAGAACGAUUCAAUCCUUUGGCGGGUUCAAAUCGUGUUUGUCACAUGCGCCGAAUACAAUAGGUGUAGACUUUACAGUGAAAUUCUUACUGACAAGCCCUUAACAAACAAUGCAGUUUUAAGAAAAAAUACCUAAAAAGAUAAGAAAUAAAAGUAACAAAUAAGGGGGUACCGGGACCGAGUCAAUGUGCGGGGGCACCGGUUGGUUGAGGUAAUUGAGGUAAUAGGCAUAGCGGCUUUUAAAGGCAAUGUUCUGGUGAUCGCAGAGAUCCCAUCCAUGGUAAACGUUGCAUAUGUUCGGCUUGUUCGGAAAUGGCUUUAAAAACCGCCUUGCUUAUAACCCAUGAUCGGAUUGAACCUUGUCCUUAAAAAAAUGUACGAUCAAUAUUGUAUUGACAUUUUUUUAUACAGAAACAACAAAUACAAAUAGGACCCAGCAAACUCAUGAAAAAGAGAAGAGAAAAAAAGAAACAAGAUAACAGAAAACUGGACUAUAUUAUAAUAAAAUCACUGGCUAAUUUCCUGGCCUUACUCUUUUCUUUUCCCCAGAUUCAUUAAAGUCCAUAUGCAGUCUGAACUUGGCCUCUCUGGUUUACACAGUGAUGAUAGUGAAGAGCAUGGUGUACUGCUAUGGGCUCUCUUUCCUGCUGCACUACAGGAACAUGGGUUGUAGACCCAAAACCUGUAGACAAAUUCAUUGAAAGGAUAUCCCUAUAUAUUGUGUUUCCCUCCUUAAAAUGAAUAUCACAUAAUAUUUAGUUUUGAUGAUUGUGGGAGCCACCCACUACAGACACUUGAAUACAGUUCAGUUAAGGAGAGCAAAUCUUGAUGGUAGAAAUAUGAUUGAAAUAUUGACAGUUUUAUUAAAGUUGCCUUGUUGUAUGUCAUAGCGUCAAAUUACUUUUUUACAAAAUCUGUAUUUGAUUUUUACAAAAAUAUUUACCUAAUUAUCAUAUGUAUUUCUUUAAAUAUGUUGUUAUUAAAUAUAUGGCCCUUGAUUUCUAAACAUGUGUCAUUAUACAAAAUCAUUUUUAGUAACUUGUCAAGUGUGUAAUAAAGUGUAUUUUUUCUCAAGUAAUUAGAGUUAGUUUUCUGACAGUAUUUCAUAUCUUCAUUAAAUUUUCUCAUUCAUUUACCAUGAAUAAUAGAAAAUCUAGCUUUUUUUUGCUUUAAAAAACUAAAUGAUAAGUGCUUAUUGAGCCAGAAAAUUGAUCUAUGAGUGAAAUCAGUCAUUUGUGAUUUUUUACAAUGAUACAAUGCUGUUGUUGUUUAAUUUUUUACGUUGAUACAUAAAGCUUGUAUGAAAAGUGACAUUUCCUUGUGUAACACAGCCUUGUAGUGAGCAAAGUUUCUCAAAAUAACCAUAUCCUUUCAGAUGGGGAUGGUUUUAAUUAUUUCUGCCUUCAUGAAAGAAAAGUUAAAAAAACAUGGUUCUGCAAUGUAUUGUAUAGCCUACAUUUUGUACAGUUCCGUGCUAUUUUGAAUGAGGAAACUGUCACCAUAAUAAAAAAUUAAUGUUUCUUAAAACCCCCAAAACAUUGUAUUUCUUAUAAGAUCAUCUAUUCUUAUUUUAGAACAUUUUAAAUUAUUGAAUCACAUCAGAAGCGGAACAAUAAGAUCAUAAGAUCCCUUAUUCUCUGUUUUCAACCUGUUUGCUUAAAUGUGCAUGCUCUGACGCAGGUGUAGAGACUAUAGAC